rnacentral:tRNA from 2 species
GCGCCUGUAGCUCAACUGGAUAGAGCAACGGCCUUCUAAGCCGUAGGUUGCAGGUUCGAGCCCUGUCGGGUGCGCCA